rnacentral:rRNA from 1 species
UACCAGCACCCCGAGUGGUCGGGACGAUUAUUGGGCCUAAAGCAUCCGUAGCCGGUUUUACAAGUCCUCCGUUAAAUCCAACUGCUUAACGGAUGGGCUGCGGAGGAUACCGCAGAGCUAGGAGGCGGGAGAGGCAAACGGUACUCAGUGGGUAGGGGUAAAAUCCAUUGAUCUACUGAAGACCACCAGUGGCGAAGGCGGUUUGCCAGAACGCGCUCGACGGUGAGGGAUGAAAGCUGGGGGAGCAAACCGG